rnacentral:rRNA from 1 species
GAUGAACGCUGGCGGCGCGCCUAACACAUGCAAGUCGAACGGCACCCCUCCUCGGAGGGCAGCGAGUGGCGAACGGCUGAGUAACACGUGGAGAACCUGCCCCCUCCCCCGGGAUAGCCGCCCGAAAGGACGGGUAAUACCGGAUACCCCGGGGUGCCGCAUGGCACCCCGGCUAAAGCCCCGACGGGAGGGGAUGGCUCCGCGGCCCAUCAGGUAGACGGCGGGGUGACGGCCCACCGUGCCGACAACGGGUAGCCGGGUUGGGAGACCGACCGGCCAGAUUGGGACGGAGACACGGCCCAGACUCCUACGGGAGGCAGCAGUGGGGAAUCUUGCGCAAUGGGGGGAACCCUGACGCAGCGACGCCGCGUGCGGGACGGAGGCCUUCGGGUCGUAAACCGCUUUCAGCAGGGAAGAGUCAAGACUGUACCUGCAGAAGAAGCCCCGGCUAACUACGUG